GGAGCUAAAGCUAGUAAUACAAUCACAUUGAACCAUUCCUUUGAAAUACCCAAAUCCUUGUCUGAUUUGAAACCCUCCUUCAAAAUCCCCAAAUUCACGUCUAAGCCCAAAAUUUGGAUUCAAGCUUUUAAAUCAAGGAGAGGCUUUCAAAUCAAGGUUGAUAACACAAAGGGACCCUUUGAACAUGAGUUUCAUUUCUUGCUUGUUCUCACGAGGUCGUCGGCAUCAACUCGAUGGAGGGUCCAUGUAGGCAUAACCCAAGCUAAUCGUUGAACUUACCCUGUUCUGAGGGUUCUUGUUGCCUUCCUCUAGAGAAAGGUCAAUAGAAAUUGUCCUCGAAUGAGCGGGCAGAUGAGUGGGCAGAGUUAUUUUUAAAUCCAUUAUUGUCUAAAAGACCAUUAUUGUUGAAGAGGAGGCCAUCCCCGCAUCAUUCACAGGGAUAUUAAAUCAUCAAACACUCUUCUUGAUAGCAACUUUGAAGCUCAUCAAGUCUCGAUUUAUUAGAGUCAAGAUUGAAAGGGACUACUACUAAAUACACAAUGUUGCCUGAGAGACUAAGUG